GGUGGCUCAGUGGUAGAGUACUUGCCUUGUAUGCAUGAAACCUUGGGUUUGAUUCCUCAGCACCA
rnacentral:tRNA from 1 species